rnacentral:snRNA from 1 species
AGCUUUGCGCAGUGGCAGGAUCGUAGCCAAUGAGGUUUAUCCGAGGCGCGAUUAUUGCUAAUUGAACCUAGGCCACCUGGUCAGCCAGACCAGAAACUUGGUAAUGAUUCUGGACUC